ACAGAAGAGGCAGUGUGUUGGAAAGGCGGAACCGAGAAGUUGGGAAUACACCUGGGGGAAACCCAAGUCCAGGAGCCUCUCAGAGGGAGGGACAGUAAACACAAGAUGGACCAAUCAAAAUGCUAAACACAGAAGCGAUAAAUAAUUGUCUCCUCUCUCCAGCCAGACUGAUCUGAGAACUGAGACCUUCAUAUGAGCCCACUGCACAUCCUAGCUCAGGGAAAAUAUAUGGCAGGAUUGCUCUCAAUAAACAUCCACUGAUGGUCA